UACGAAGGGGGCUAGCGUUGCUCGGAAUCACUGGGCGUAAAGCGCACGUAGGCGGCUUUCUAAGUCAGGGGUGAAAUCCUGGAGCUCAACUCCAGAACUGCCUUUGAUACUGGAGAGCUUGAGACCAGGAGAGGUGAGUGGAAUUCCCAGUGUAGCGGUGAAAUGCGUAGAUAUUGGGAGGAACACCAGUGGCGAAGGCGGCUCACUGGACUGGUACUGACGCUGAUGCGCGAAAGCGUGGGGAGCAAACAGG
rnacentral:rRNA from 1 species